GGCCUCCAGGAGAAGGACAUAGACAGCGGGGCAAGCCAGAGCGCCGGAAACCAGCCGCCGCACGGAAACAAACCCUUCCCGGAAGAACCUUGUAUUGGCAGUUGACCAGAAUGUGGAGACUUCAAUACCUUCCCUGGAGGAGCCGCCCACUCUGGUUAACCUCUUGGGCAGGAGGCUAGUGCUCAUGGGCACCAGUUUCCUUGUGUUCAUCAUCACUUUGGCUUCUCCUGCAUCUCCUGGACAAUCCUCUCCUGUGCACGCCCUCCAGAUCCGCAGACCUGCUUAUCCAGUCUCCUACUUACCUCAGUGUUUGGCUGAGGGCUUGGUUUGAGGUAUUCCUGCAGCUGGCAUGGCCACCUCGCCUUCCUCUCCCUCUUUUGGACUGAGCAUCACACCUGGUGAAGACCCAUAU